CCUACGUGUGGCAGCAGUGGGGAAUAUUGCACAAUGGGGGGAACCCUGAUCCAGCGACGCCGCGUGAGUGAAGAAGUAUUUCGGUAUGUAAAGCUCUAUCAGCAGGGAAGAAAAUGACGGUACCUGACUAAGAAGCCCCGGCUAACUACGUGCCAGCAGCCGCGGUAAUACGUAGGGGGCAAGCGUUAUCCGGAUUUACUGGGUGUAAAGGGAGCGUAGACGGCGGAGCAAGUCUGAUGUGAAAGGACGGGGCCCAACCCCGGGAAUGCAUUGGAAACUGUGGAACUAGAGUACAGGAGAGGUAAGCGGAAUUCCUAGUGUAGCGGUGAAAUGCGUAGAUAUUAGGAGGAACACCAGUGGCGAAGGCGGCUUACUGGACUGUAACUGACGUUGAGGCUCGAAAGCGUGGGGAGCAAACAGGAUUAGAUACCCGUGUAGUC
rnacentral:rRNA from 1 species